CAAUAGCGUAUAUUAUAGUUGUUGCAGUUAAAAAGCUCGUAGUUGGAUUUCUGGUGGGAGCGAUCGGUCUGGCGCUUAGCGCGAGUACUUGCAUCGUCUCCGGCCAUCCUUGGGGAGAGUCUGUCUGGCAUUAGGUUGUCGGGCAGAGGAUCCUCAUCGUUUACUGUGAAAAAAUUAGAGUGUUCAAAGCAGGCUUAUGCCGUUGAAUAUGUUAGCAUGGAAUAAUAAGAUAGGACUUUGGUACUAUUUUGUUGGUUUGCGCACCAAAGUAAUGAUUAAUAGGGACAGUUGGGGGUAUUCGUAUUCCGUUGUCAGAGGUGAAAUUCUUGGAUUUACGGAAGACGAACUACUGCGAAAGCAUUUACCAAGGAUGUUUUCAUUAA
rnacentral:rRNA from 1 species